AUAUUAUACAAACUACCAGAUAUAAUUAACUAGUCGAUGAUUAUAAUGAU
rnacentral:guide_RNA from 1 species